UUGUGUGAUGAAAUAAUAUCUCAUUCGAGAAGCGGAACCAGUUAUGUGGGAUUGAGGAUUGAAUAAUUGAUAAAAGUGAAUACGUAUUUGUUUGGAUUCAUUAUUAGCACUUUAAUUUGGAAUAAUCAUGAAUUUUGUUGAAACAGAUAGGCAAACGUAGGUCGGGUAGGCGAAUGUAGGGAUUGUGGAUUGAUGGAAUAUUUGAGUUGUGUGAUUGAAUGGUUUUUUUUUAGCUAUAUUGUGUUG
rnacentral:lncRNA from 1 species